AUGGCCACGCUCCUCUCCCGUUCGCCUCGGCGCCUCCUCCGCUUCCUCAAGCCCCAAACCCUACUCUCCCCGAUAUUGACCUCGUCUUCCCCUCCCCACGAUCUCCCGGAGAGGAUUCCGCCGCUGGGACUCGGAGAGUCGGGAUGGAGUGCGCCGCCGCAGUGGCAGUGGCACCGGCACCGCGCCCUAUGGACAUACUCCAACCCUCAGAACUCCGGAGCCUGCGAGGCUGGCCUGGCCGCUGCUCCAGGCGCAUCGUCCCUCUCGUUGCGCAUGAGAAGGAGUCGCGCGGCGUCGACCGACGUCGCCCAGGUGUCCGCCGACAAGGGCGUGGGCGCCAACGGAGCGCACCAGGCGGCCGCCAAGGAAGGAGAUCCUGAGACAAGUUUGUGUAGCAAGGCCAUUAAAAUCAUGACGUACAAUGUGUGUUUCGGGAAGGAUUAUGAACUGCACAGCAGGAUUCUUGCUCUUGGAAAUAUUAUUCAGCACCACAGCCCAGAUCUUAUAUGCCUCCACGAGGUUACACCAGAGAUACAUGGGUUUCUGGAAAAAUCCGACUGGUGGCCAGAAUACAAAUGCUUGAUGUCACGUGGGAUGGAUUACACAGAGGCGGGCAUGGUCUGUUCCAAUACGAGGAAACCAUUGUCGAAAAGACAAAAACAGAGAUCAUAUUUCUGCAUGCAGAUGAGCAAGUUGCCUGUGGAUUCUUUCGACGGUGUUCCAUUUUCAGAUUCAGUAAUGGGAAGGGAGCUUUGCAUGGCAAAUAUCAACAUUGGUGGCGUCACCUUGGUGUUGGGUACAAGCCACCUAGAGAGCCCGAGCCGGCCUCGGUUGCGCAGCAACGAGCGAGUUGCCCAGGCAAAGGAGUCCCUCAUAUUGUUGGGAGGAAGAGGAUCCUGCAACCUGAUAUUCUGCGGGGACAUGAACUGGGACGACAAGACAGACGGGCCCUUCCCUCUGCCGGACGGCUGGGUUGACGCCUGGGCUGAGCUGAAGCCAGGUGAAGAUGGCUGGACGUACGACACGGAGGCUAACGCCAUGCUGUCUGCAGUGGUCCAUAAACGACAGCUGAGGCUCGAUCGGUUCGUGUGCAAGCUGCCGGAUUUCGAGGUCCAAGGCAUCGAGAUGGUUGGGAAGGAGCCUAUACCCGGCGUCUUGUACGUGAAGGUGGAUGUAGCCCGCUGGAAGUCUAAGGAGAAAAUCUGCCGGCAGCGUCGCGAGCGGAUGCUGCCUGUGCUGCCCAGCGACCACUUCGGGCUCGUCUUGACGGUCACCCCUCAGCCUGGAAGCUGUGCUCCGUCAGAGUAA
rnacentral:rRNA from 1 species